rnacentral:rRNA from 1 species
GACGAACCGUGCAAACGUUGUUCGGAUUCACUGGGCUUAAAGGGCGCGUAGGCGGGCGGUCAAGUCAGGGGUGAAAUCUUUCGGCUCAACCGGAAAAGUGCCUUUGAUACUGGCCGUCUCGAGGGAGGUAGGGGCAUGCGGAACUUCCGGCGGAGCGGUGAAAUGCGUAGAUAUCGGAAGGAACGCCGGUGGCGAAAGCGGCGUGCUGGACCUCUUCUGACGCUGAGGCGCGAAAGCCAGGGGAGCAAACGGG